AUUCAGCUGAAGAGUCACAUAUAAGUCGAAACGCGUUUCCUGGAU
rnacentral:hammerhead_ribozyme from 1 species